rnacentral:tRNA from 1 species
UGUUAUUUUGGCAGAAUAGUGCAAUAGAUUUAGAAUCUAUUUAAGUAGAUAAAGUUCUACAAUUAAUAUU